GGCUUUCCCCAUUUUUACCUCUCUUAUUCUCUCCACCGCCAUUGUAUUCUUCUGGAUUCUUCACCAUCAAUCCAUUCUCUGGUCCCCCUCAUCGGUUUCAGCUACUCACCGUUGGUCUGUGCUCCUUCUCGCCGUCGCAUCUCCGCCUUAGAGUCAUCAGAUUUUUCCUUCUGCUUCUCUUUUUUGAACUACAGAACCUGUGAAAGUGAUAGCGAGAGCGUAUAAAAUUUUCCUUCUCUUCACCGUCGAUCUGCUUCUCUGUACCUCGCCGUCGACUUCCUUCUUUGCCGCCGUGUUCGUCCGCUGCUCUUUUCUCCAUUCACGUCGCCAGCUGCUGUGAGGGUGGAGUCACCGAAUACUCCUCCCCUGUCGUUCCCCUCUGUUCUUUUCCUGAUUUGUGUUGGCGUGUGUAUGUGUGUCAUCUUCAACUUUUCUUCCUCCUCAGUUCUGGUCAUCGUGUAUGCAUGUGCAGGGUGAUUGUAGAAGAUGUUAGCCCCGUGCAUAGGCCAAUGCACGUGCAAAGAAGGAUGAAUAUUCGGAGAGCUGGUAGAUAUGGGUCCAAGUUUCCCACUGAGGAAGUAACAUGCUUUGAUGCAGAGGAUCUACCCUUGCUUCAUUCAUCAUUAAAUUCUCCAUCCCCCACAUUAGGGGUAUCCUUCAAAGCACCUCAUGCCAAGCAUAUAACCAUGACAAGAAAUGAAAAGCUGGAGUAUUUUUUAGACAAUGCCAAAUUAUCAGAAAAUUAUUUCAUUGUUAAUUGCAAAGAUUAUUGAAAGUCGCUGCUAUUAUUGAUGAGUUCCCAUUUGGAUUGCAUGAAAAAUAUCUGUUUUGCAUAAGUUGACAUAGAUGAUGAAAUUUCGUCUCGAGGCCUUUACACAGUUUGCGGAGACUUAUGCUAAGAAAGGCCUUGUUCAGCUUCGGGAAAUAUUUACUCCUGGUACAGUUAAGGUGCCUAAAGCACCAUCUGCUCUCGAGGAACUUGAAUCUAUCCACAAGUUGAUUGACGCUAUCUGCACUUCGCGACGAGCCUCUAUCUUCCUCUCGUGACGCGGCCGUGCUCCUCUGUUCCUCCUCCCACUUCGUUGCUGUGCUUCUUGGUUGAUCCUCCAGCACUUCCUCCUCCGGCGCAGCGUUCUAUAUAAAAAGAAUGAGGAGGGAGAGAAAUUUGCUCUCCAUUCUUCGUACACCCUCCACCUUCCUUUCCGAUCUGUCGCCGGUGAUUGUGAGUGCUGGAGUCUUCCUCUUCAUCCUCCUUUGAGACUGACGCCAGUGAUCUCCUUACUUUCUCGAGCUGGCUCAUGUCUGAACUGGGGAAGAGUAAGAGAAAAUCUGUCGCCCUCUUCCUCCUCUUCAUAGCUCGCCGCUGCCGUAGGUAAAUACGGCAGCUCCGUCCAUCACUCAAAUCCAUGCUCUGGGUUCUUCAAUGUUUUACUAUGGAAGUUAGUUCGUUGUUGGAAGAGGUUCAAAUUGAGGCUGUCUCUUCCCCUGCACCACCGCCGUUCUUCUUUUGCCUUUGUCAUUGGGUCUCUUAUUCCUCAUCUUGACUUGCUUCAAGAAUUUAAGGACAAAGCAUUGUUCCUAGAAGAUUUGUUUCGAAGUAAGUUAUACACUUGGGAACUCUACAGAUAAUGUGAAUGGCUUUGGACUUCUAGUUGAUCAUUGAGGGCCAUCUUUUGACUUGAAGUGAAGAAGUUAAUGACCACCCUCCUUUUGUUGUAAAGAUUUAAAUAUGAAAUUUUAUUUUGUAAAUUUUAUUGUAGGAGCUCCACGUAACUAUAGUUAAAGCCCUUAUAUGUGUAUUAUACUUGAUUUGUUUGGUAGAAGGAGCAUAGCUCCUUGUUGAAUGCUAUUUGUUAUUAAAAGAAAAAACUGUUGUAGAAA